AGCAGCCGCGGUAAUUCCAGCUCCAAUAGCGUAUAUUAAAGUUGUUGCAGUUAAAAAGCUCGUAGUUGAAUUUCGGGAUUGACACAUCGGUCGUGCCUUAAGGGGUAUGAACUGGUGUAGUCAAUUUCUCACCUUCUGGAGAACCGCGAUGUCCUUAAUUGGGUGCCGCGAGGAACCAGGACCUUUUACUUUGAAAAAUUAGAGUGUUUAAAGCAGGCAUUUUUGCUUGAAUACAUUAGCAUGGAAUAAUAAAAUAGGACGGCAUGAUUCUAUUUUGUUGGUUUCUAGGAUCACCGUAAUGAUUAAUAGGGAUAGUUGGGGCAUUAGUAUUCAAUUGUCAGAGGUGAAAUUCUUGGAUUUAUUGAAGACUAACUACUGCGAAAGCAUUUG
rnacentral:rRNA from 1 species